rnacentral:rRNA from 1 species
AGCAGCCGCGGUAAUUCCAGCUCCAAUAGCGUAUAUUAAAGUUGCUGCAGUUAAAAAGCUCGUAGUUGAAUUUCGGGACCAAUAUGUCGUCGUGCCUCGGUACGUACUGGCAUCGUUGGUUUCUCCCUUCUGACGAACCAUGAUGUCAUUCAUUUGGUGUCGUGAGGAAUCAGAACUGUUACUUUGAAAAAAUUAGAGUGUUUAAAGCAGGCUCACGCUUGAAUACAUUAGCAUGGAAUAAUGAAAUAGGACGUUUGAUUCUAUUUUGUUGGUUUCUAGGAUCGACGUAAUGAUUAAUAGGGAUAGUUGGGGGCAUUAGUAUUCAAUUGUCAGAGGUGAAAUUCUUGGAUUUAUUGAAGACUAACUACUGCGAAAGCAUUUGCCAAGGAUGUUUUCAUUAAUCAAGAACGAAAGUUAGGGGAUCGAAGACGAUCAGAUACCGUCGUAGUCUUAACCAUAAACUAUGCCGACUAGGGAUCGGAUGAUGUUAAUUUUUUAAUGACUCAUUCGGCGCCUUACG